UUCGACACACUAUCAUUAACUGAAUCCAUAGGUUAAUGAGGCGAACCGGGGGAACUGAAACAUCUAAGUACCCCGAGGAAAAGAAAUCAACCGAGAUUCCCCCAGUAGCGGCGAGCGAACGGGGAGCAGCCCAGAGCCUGAAUCAGUAUGUGUGUUAGUGGAAGCGUCUGGAAAGGCGCGCGAUACAGGGUGACAGCCCCGUACACAAAAAUGCACAUGCUGUGAGCUCGAUGAGUAGGGCGGGACACGUGGUAUCCUGUCUGAAUAUGGGGGGACCAUCCUCCAAGGCUAAAUACUCCUGACUGACCGAUAGUGAACCAGUACCGUGAGGGAAAGGCGAAAAGAACCCCGGCGAGGGGAGUGAAAAAGAACCUGAAACCGUGUACGUACAAGCAGUGGGAGCACGCUUAGGCGUGUGACUGCGUACCUUUUGUAUAAUGGGUCAGCGACUUAUAUUCUGUAGCAAGGUUAACCGAAUAGGGGAGCCGAAGGGAAACCGAGUCUUAACUGGGCGUUAAGUUGCAGGGUAUAGACCCGAAACCCGGUGAUCUAGCCAUGGGCAGGUUGAAGGUUGGGUAACACUAACUGGAGGACCGAACCGACUAAUGUUGAAAAAUUAGCGGAUGACUUGUGGCUGGGGGUGAAAGGCCAAUCAAACCGGGAGAUAGCUGGUUCUCCCCGAAAGCUAUUUAGGUAGCGCCUCGUGAAUUCAUCUCCGGGGGUAGAGCACUGUUUCGGCAAGGGGGUCAUCCCGACUUACCAACCCGAUGCAAACUGCGAAUACCGGAGAAUGUUAUCACGGGAGACACACGGCGGGUGCUAACGUCCGUCGUGAAGAGGGAAACAACCCAGACCGCCAGCUAAGGUCCCAAAGUCAUGGUUAAGUGGGAAACGAUGUGGGAAGGCCCAGACAGCCAGGAUGUUGGCUUAGAAGCAGCCAUCAUUUAAAGAAAGCGUAAUAGCUCACUGGUCGAGUCGGCCUGCGCGGAAGAUGUAACGGGGCUAAACCAUGCACCGAAGCUGCGGCAGCGACGCUGAUGCGUUGUUGGGUAGGGGAGCGUUCUGUAAGCCUGCGAAGGUGUGCUGUGAGGCAUGCUGGAGGUAUCAGAAGUGCGAAUGCUGACAUAAGUAACGAUAAAGCGGGUGAAAAGCCCGCUCGCCGGAAGACCAAGGGUUCCUGUCCAACGUUAAUCGGGGCAGGGUGAGUCGACCCCUAAGGCGAGGCCGAAAGGCGUAGUCGAUGGGAAACAGGUUAAUAUUCCUGUACUUGGUGUUACUGCGAAGGGGGGACGGAGAAGGCUAUGUUGGCCGGGCGACGGUUGUCCCGGUUUAAGCGUGUAGGCUGGUUUUCCAGGCAAAUCCGGAAAAU
rnacentral:rRNA from 1 species